AGAGUUUGAUCCUGGCUCAGGAUGAACGCCGGCGGUGUGCCUAAUACAUGCAAGUCGUACGCACUGGCCCAACUGAUUGAUGGUGCUUGCACCUGAUUGACGAUGGAUCACCAAUGAGUGGCGGACGGGUGAGUAACACGUAGGUAACCUGCCCCAGAGCGGGGGAUAACAUUUGGAAACAGAUGCUAAUACCGCAUAACAACAAAAACCACAUGGCUUUUGUUUGAAAGAUGGCCUUGGCUAUCACUCUGGGAUGGACCUGCGGUGCAUUAGCUAGUUGGUAAGGUAACGGCUUACCAAGGCGAUGAUGCAUAGCCGAGUUGAGAGACUGAUCGGCCACAAUGGAACUGAGACACGGUCCAUACUCCUACGGGAGGCAGCAGUAGGGAAUCUUCCACAAUGGGCGCAAGCCUGAUGGAGCAACACCGCGUGAGUGAAGAAGGGUUUCGGCUCGUAAAGCUCUGUUGUUGGAGAAGAACGUGCGUGAGAGUAACUGUUCACGCAGUGACGGUAUCCAACCAGAAAGUCACGGCUAACUACGUGCCAGCAGCCGCGGUAAUACGUAGGUGGCAAGCGUUAUCCGGAUUUAUUGGGCGUAAAGCGAGCGCAGGCGGUUGCUUAGGUCUGAUGUGAAAGCCUUCGGCUUAACCGAAGAAGUGCAUCGGAAACCGGGCGACUUGAGUGCAGAAGAGGACAGUGGAACUCCAUGUGUAGCGGUGGAAUGCGUAGAUAUAUGGAAGAACACCAGUGGCGAAGGCGGCUGUCUGGUCUGCAACUGACGCUGAGGCUCGAAAGCAUGGGUAGCGAACAGGAUUAGAUACCCUGGUAGUCCAUACCGUAAACGAUGAGUGCUAGGUGUUGGAGGGUUUCCGCCCUUCAGUGCCGGAGCUAACGCAUUAAGCACUCCGCCUGGGGAGUACGACCGCAAGGUUGAAACUCAAAGGAAUUGACGGGGGCCCGCACAAGCGGUGGAGCAUGUGGUUUAAUUCGAAGCUACGCGAAGAACCUUACCAGGUCUUGACAUCUUGCGCUAACCUUAGAGAUAAGGCGUUCCCUUCGGGGACGCAAUGACAGGUGGUGCAUGGUCGUCGUCAGCUCGUGUCGUGAAAUGUUGGGUUAAGUCCCGCAACGAGCGCAACCCUUGUUACUAGUUGCCAGCAUUAAGUUGGGCACUCUAGUGAGACUGCCGGUGACAAACCGGAGGAAGGUGGGGACGACGUCAGAUCAUCAUGCCCCUUAUGACCUGGGCUACACACGUGCUACAAUGGACGGUACAACGAGUCGCAAGCUCGCGAGAGUAAGCUAAUCUCUUAAAGCCGUUCUCAGUUCGGACUGUAGGCUGCAACUCGCCUACACGAAGUCGGAAUCGCUAGUAAUCGCGGAUCAGCAUGCCGCGGUGAAUACGUUCCCGG
rnacentral:rRNA from 1 species